rnacentral:rRNA from 1 species
GAUGAACGCUGGCGGCGUGCCUAAUACAUGCAAGUCGAGCGAACAGACGAGGAGCUUGCCCCUCUGACGUUAGCGGCGGACGGGUGAGUAACACGUGGAUAACCUACCUAUAAGACUGGGAUAACUUCGGGAAACCGGAGCUAAUACCGGAUAAUAUAUUGAACCGCAUGGUUCAAUAGUGAAAGACGGUUUUGCUGUCACUUAUAGAUGGAUCCGCGCCGCAUUAGCUAGUUGGUAAGGUAACGGCUUACCAAGGCAACGAUGCGUAGCCGACCUGAGAGGGUGAUCGGCCACACUGGAACGGGGACACGGUCCAGACUCCUACGGGGGGCAGCAGUAGGGAAUCUUCCGCAAUGGGCGAAAGCUUGACGGAGCAACGCCGCGUGAGUGAUGAAGGUCUUCGGAUCGUAAAACUCUGUUAUUAGGGAAGAACAAAUGUGUAAGUAACUAUGCACGUCUUGACGGUACCUAAUCAGAAAGCCACGGCUAACUACGUG